rnacentral:rRNA from 1 species
GAUGAACGCUGGCGGCGUGCCUAAUACAUGCAAGUCGAGCGAACGGACGAGAAGCUUGCUUCUCUGAUGUUAGCGGCGGACGGGUGAGUAACACGUGGAUAACCUACCUAUAAGACUGGGAUAACUUCGGGAAACCGGAGCUAAUACCGGAUAAUAUUUUGAACCGCAUGGUUCAAAAGUGAAAGACGGUCUUGCUGUCACUUAUAGAUGGAUCCGCGCUGCAUUAGCUAGUUGGUAAGGUAACGGCUUACCAAGGCAACGAUGCAUAGCCGACCUGAGAGGGUGAUCGGCCACACUGGAACUGAGACACGGUCCAGACUCCUACGGGAGGCAGCAGUAGGGAAUCUUCCGCAAUGGGCGAAGGCCUGACGGAGCAACGCCGCGUGAGUGAUGAAGGUCUUCGGAUCGUAAAACUCUGUUAUUAGGGAAGAACAUAUGUGUAAGUAACUGUGCACAUCUUGACUGUACCUAAUCAGAAAGCCACGACUAACUACGUG